UACGAAGGGGGCUAGCGUUGCUCGGAAUCACUGGGCGUAAAGCGCACGUAGGCGGAUUGUUAAGUCGGGGGUGAAAUCCUGGAGCUCAACUCCAGAACUGCCUUUGAUACUGAGAAGCUUGAGUCCGGGAGAGGUGAGUGGAACUGCGAGUGUAGAGGUGAAAUUCGUAGAUAUUCGCAAGAACACCAGUGGCGAAGGCGGCUCACUGGCCCGGUACUGACGCUGAGGUGCGAAAGCGUGGGGAGCAAACAGG
rnacentral:rRNA from 1 species